rnacentral:misc_RNA from 1 species
GAUGAAGAACGCAGCGAAAUGCGAUACGUAAUGUGAAUUGCAGAUUUCAGUGAAUCAUCGAAUCUUUGAACGCACAUUGCGCCCGCCAGUAUUCUGGCGGGCAUGCCUGUUCGAGCGUCAUUUCAACCCUCAAGCCCCAGCGGCCUGGUGUUGGGGACCGGCGACCUCGCCCGAGCCCGCCCUCCGGGGCGCGUGCCCGGUGCGUCCGCCGCCCCCGAAAUGAAUUGGCGGCCUCGUCGCGGCCUCCUCUGCGUAGUAGCACAACCUCGCAAGCGGGAGCGCGACGCGGCCACUGCCGUAAAACGCCCAACUUUUUUAGAGUUGACCUCGGAUCAGGUAGGAAUACCCGCUGAACUUAAGCAUAUCAAUAAGCGGAGGA